rnacentral:tRNA from 1 species
AUUUUUAUAGCUUAAUAAAAAGCAUAGUAUUGAAGUUACUAGGAUAAUUUUUAUAAAUUUAAAAAUA